rnacentral:lncRNA from 1 species
CAAGUUAUGAUCGAAUCGAUUUCAGAAAAUCUUGAACUUCAAAAGGCCAUAUCUCCCAAACCGUUUGGCCAAUUUUGGUGGGGUUUUUUCCUACAAGUCACAUUUGAUCCCCUCUUUCCAAAAAUAUAAAUUUCAUGAGCCAAAACUUCACCAAUCAAAAUGGCAUUUUUUGACUUAUCUCAUUUAAAUGCAAGUUUGACCAAGGGUUGACUUUUUG